GGCAGAUCAGGGGCUGAGCCAGUACAAUCCAAACACAGCCCUGGCCAAUCAGCAUCUCUUCAUAGAGAUGCAUUGAAUCUUGAGUUUAGUGUCUCCAUGCAGAUGGUGUAGACACUGAAUGACAGUAAUGCACAUUGUGCAUCACUGCCCCAGGAAGCACCUCUAGUAGCCAUCUGAGGAGUGACCAGUGGAGUUAACCCUAGGUUGUAAUGUAAACACUGCAUUAUCUCUGAAAAGACAGUGUUUACUGCAAAAAGCCUGAAGGGAACGAUUAU